GAGUCCAUAUUGUGCACUAGUUGAGAUCCAUCAUUAUCAAACUCCCCCGCAUAUUUGUGUCCUCGUACAGAAGAAAUCCACAUAGUUGAUCUUGUAUUGCCCUGAAAACUUCGGUGUCGAUGAGUUUUUCCUUCCUGGUCAUCAUCUGUGUCAUUAGCAAAUGAAUUAGAAAUAUUUAAUCUAAAUUUGUUGAACAAUUGAAACUUUUUUAAGUAUAAGCAUAUGAAUUGAAAUACAUAAUCUAAUUUUUCUAAGUAUAUACACAUGGAUUGGAUUUUGAGGUAUAAGCAUAUGAAUUGAAAUACUUAAUCUAAUUUUUCUAAGUAUAUACUCUUGGAUUGGUUUUUGAAGUAUAAGUAAAUGAAUUCAAAUACUUAAUCUAAUUUUUCUAAGUACAAGCAAAUGAAUUGGUUUUUGAAGUACAAGCAUAUGAAUUGAAUUACUUAAUCUAAUUUUUCUAAGUAUAUACACAUGAAAUGGUUUUCGAAGUAGAAACAUAUGAAUUGAAAUACUUAAUCUAAGUUUUCUAAGUAUAUACACAUGAAUUGGUUUUUGAAGUAUAAGCAUAUGAAUUGAAAUACUUAAUCUAAUUUUUCUACGUAUAUGCAUAUGAUUUGGUUUUUGAAGCACAAGCAAAUGAAUUAAUUUUUGAAGAAUAUACACAUGAACUAAUUUAUUGUUGAGAAUUUUGUAUAUGUACGGUUAAUUCAUGUUCAGUGAUAUGGUUCGGACCCACAAAGUCAUGGAUGAAGUCACAAACGUAGUAUCCACAUAAAUGAGUACCCUCCUGCUAUCUCGAACACUAUAUAUAUGGAAAAAAGUUAUGAAAUAUUUGUUGGGUUAAAGGAAGUAUCACGAGAUGUGAAAAUUUAACACAUACUGAAAAUCUAUCUUCCAAACAAGUUGCUCCGUGAAAUUACCCUUGUGAGUUUGAUGGAAUCGAGCUCAGCAUUUGUUCAGAGCGUUCAUGAUGUCAACGUAUUUUUCUUUUGGUUUCCUCAAAGAGUCCAAGACAUACACGAAGCUCCAAGCGGGGAUAAUAAUGAGUACCCAAUGGUACAUGUACAUCCAAAUUGAAGCUAGUUAGUAUUAUGUUUAAGUGCUAGUUCAGAAAAGAAAGCGAUGGGAAAAACGCUCACUUGAAGUUCCACGGUAGUAAUAUGCGCUUCUUAUCCUAAUGCUUGUCGAGGAACUUCAAUAUAUUCUUCAAGGUCCGUUUUGGUUUAUCCUUUA
rnacentral:lncRNA from 1 species